UGGAAAAUGAAAAUAACUAACGCAAAUUGAAGGAGACAUUUUGAAUAUUCAAUUAUUAAUAAUUAAAUUAAUAUUUGCAAUUCCAAGGACGCCUUAUUUAUUUAAGAAUACUGAAUAAAAUCAAAACCAGUAUAAUUGUGAAAUUUAUUUAUUUAUUGAAACGAGAAAAGAGAAAAAGCAAACAAAUUUGAAUUAAUAAGAAAAUAUUUUUAUGUAUAAGAAAAUUAGAAUUAUCAUAUUUUAGACAUCACGACAACCUGAAAACAGUUAAUGGCUGAUGUUGUUAAUGUGCAAAAUAAACAUAAGGUGGUAGAAUUAAAUACAGGAUUUUAGUAACAACAAUCAGAGAGAAUAAAGUUAUUUACGCAGAUUCAAAUCGAAGAAAUCGAAGCGAAAUGGAGGCAUACGCAACAUGUGGCGCGGCAUGAAUUCGAUAGCACAAAACUAAGCUCCGAUUCGGCAAUAUCAUUUACUAUAUUACUACAUAUCAACCAUGGGCGCCAUAAUGUUACAAUAUGCUGAUGACAAUAUGCCCGUGACAUGGAUUCAUCCAUAGGAUAACGAUCCGAAAAGUCCUGCGCGUAAUACCAAGUAAUGGUUUCAGCUUAAUAUGGUAACUCUUAGUCUGGACUUGAACCCAAUCGAGAAUCUAUAGACACAUCUCAAGAAAAGAAUUCGUUCCCACAAAGCUGGAAAUUUCCAAGAUUUAUACGAAAAAGUUAAACAAUAAUAGAAUCGUAUUCCAAGGGAAAUCUGCACAAGUUUAGUGGAAUCAAUGCCGCGCAGAUGCUAAGCCGCAAUCGACAGACAAGGAAACAGCGACGAAUGGACAUGCCCUAGGGGACAGUAAAUAGAGUUAAUGACUAUACAGAUGUCUCAGCAUCCAUAUUUGCCAGCCGAAGUUACAUAUAACCUUUUCUAUCGACAGCCAAAGUUGCCAACGAUUUACAUUGCUAGAAUUUAUCUAAAAGAAAAAAUCUGCGCAAUAUUUCGGUUAUUGGAAGGAGCCCUGGGACAAUCGUUAAUCUCUAACGGGAACUGUUUUAAAGGCGGCAAUAUCAGUGUAGGAAAUAACGUGUUUUGGCUUGGGUUUGAGCUGCAAUAAACUUCCGCCUAGAAAGCUUUGGUGGUUGGAUAACCUUAAUGCGUACUUUUAAUGCAGGUUUCCUGCCUUCCUUGAUGUGCUGUUAGGCUAGAUAAUGAUGCUGUGCCCCUGUCUCUAAAUAUCUUUACGAUACCAACAUAUCCAGAAACAAUAACAACCCUCGACGUUGCGUCCUUAAAAGUGAAGCGCUGAACAAGUAGCAAAACCGAUGGGAAGUAGAAAACUUUAGCCGAUGGACGGCCAGGUUAACCAAAGACGACAGAAUAUAACAACAACAAGAUUUGAACAAUAAGAUUUUUCCAAGAUGACCGAAGCACGCUUUAAAAUAUAGUUUGGAGAACUAAGAGCAGAUACUCGUACCAUGAGUAAAACAGCGAGAUCUGGUCGCUGGUGCAGAGAAGUAAAUAUCCCUAUGAGAAAAAACAAAACGCUGCCCGGAAAUAACACGAAAGCGGUGCCGGGAUGGGAUGGGUGAAGGUUCCUUUCCUAAUCACAUUCCAACCCAAAAAAAAUAUUUCCUAAUUACAUACAUACUUAUAUGAAAUCGACUGUAAGUUAGUAAACAAAUAUAUAAAUACAUUUUAGUCCUCCUCUGCCUUUUCUCAACUCCUAGCAAUGUUUGCAGAAUUUUCAUGUUAAUAUUUUUUUUUUUUUUUGCAAACUAAAUCAGCUCAGUUUCUUUUUAAAUGAAUUACAUUAUGUUAUUUUACAAUGAUAAUUUUUCUCAUCAUGUCAACCAAAAAUGAACAUUGUAAUAUGCAUGUAUAUAUGUAAACAGAACAGACGGAGUAGGAGGAGGUUAUCAUAUGAUGGAAGGAAUUAGUCACAUUUGGUUGGCAUGGACUACACGCCUGCGGCAAGCAGACAAACCAAAGAAAAUGAUUCCAUAUUAUUUUCACGAUAUGUAUGUAUAUAAAACUGCAUGUAUGUAUGUAUGUACGUUCAAAUUUUUCCAUUAUAUUCAUAAUAUUACCCAUACCAACAUACCUUAGCCGUCACAUUAAGACCAACAACAAAACAUAUAUUAACAUUGUUAUACAUAUUUAUUCAUAAUAUAAAUGCAUGCAUUAUUUUCCAAGUGUAAAUUACAUUAAAAAAUGAUAUUUAUUA